rnacentral:rRNA from 1 species
UACGUAGGUGGCAAGCGUUAUCCGGAAUUAUUGGGCGUAAAGAGUGAGCAGGCGGCCUUUUAAGUCUGAAGUCAAAUGCAGUGGCUCAACCACUGUCCGCUUUGGAAACUGAGAGGCUAGAGUACGAGAGAGGUAUAUGGAAUUCCAUGUGGAGCGGUGAAAUGCGUAGAUAUAUGGAGGAACACCAGUGGCGAAGGCGAUAUACUGGAUCGAUACUGACGCUCAGUCACGAAAGCGUGGGUAGCAAAUAGGAUUAGAUACCC